AUACGGAGGGUGCAAGCGUUAAUCGGAAUUACUGGGCGUAAAGCGCGCGUAGGCGGUUUGGUCAGUCGGAUGUGAAAGCCCUGGGCUCAACCUGGGAAUGGCAUUCGAUACUGCCUGACUAGAGUAUGGUAGAGGGAAGUGGAAUUUCCGGUGUAGCGGUGAAAUGCGUAGAUAUCGGAAGGAACACCAGUGGCGAAGGCGACUUCCUGGGCCAAUACUGACGCUGAGGUGCGAAAGCGUGGGGAGCAAACAGGAUUAGAAACCCGAGUAGUCC
rnacentral:rRNA from 1 species